rnacentral:rRNA from 1 species
CAUAAUCUCUGAGGAGAAAAGCAGGGGAUCGCAAGACCUUGCGCUUUUGGAGCGGCCGAUGUCUGAUUAGCUUGUUGGUAAGGUAAAAGCUUACCAAGGCUUCGAUCAGUAGCUGGUCUGAGAGGACGACCAGCCACACUGGGACUGAGACACGGCCCAGACUCCUACGGGAGGCAGCAGUGGGGAAUUUUGGACAAUGGGGGCAACCCUGAUCCAGCCAUGCCGCGUGAGUGAAGAAGGCCUUCGGGUUGUAAAGCUCUUUCAGCCGGAACGAAACGGUUACGGUUAAUACCCGUGACUACUGACGGUACCGGAAGAAGAAG